ACUUAACUUACGUUGAGCAAACUUUUAUUCAGAGCAGCGCGGGUAGCAAGUUAACAAAAUUGACCGAUUUGUUUAUCGAGCUCCACCAUCCACAUUAUCAAGCGAACCUGAUACUGAACAUAUACCUUCAAAACGGUCUCGAAAAUGUGAUGAAUUAUUUCUUCGGUAUGGAUGUAUGAGCGUCAUCGUGAACAACGAGGAAAAGCCCAAAUGCCUCUUAUGCGGUAUUUUGCGGAGAGUAUGAAACUAAACAAAAUUAGACACUUUGAGACAACACACAAAGAAUACAUGGGCAAGCCAAAAUCAUAUUUCGAAAGAAAACGUGAUGAGCUGGGCAGGCUGCGGAUGCACUUUAGUUGUUCGAAGCAGGAUUUAGCGCUCUUGUUUGCAUGAAAUCAAAGUGCCGGUCCAGGCUAGAUGUGACCGAUGUGAUGAGAUGCGCGCUCUCGACUACACCCCCUGACUUUGAUGAACUGCAGCGCGACCAUCUCAUUAGACAUGCGAAUGCAGUGCUGAGAAGCUACCAAUACUACCCGUUUGAGAGAGGAUAGCAAUGAAAGAAAUCUGAGGACACAGAAAUUGCAUUGUUGAGAGGCACGUGGGGAAGUAUCCAGGUGACCAACUACUCAGGGCACAAAGGCCAAGCAGCAGUCAGUCUGGACGAGCUACAGUACUGUCCUACUCUGCACUGUAGCCCUGGAGCUGCUUACAUGGCAAAAUCUAAAACGGGAUUAUAAUCCUAUGAAACUGAUAGAUCAGUUUUAGGGGAAGAAUAAUUAAUCAUUCAAAUCUGCAGUCAAGGUUAUAUGGCAACGUACAUUUUGUACUGCUAUGAUCACAGGAACCUUGUUGAUUCAAAGCCACUGAGUCCUAGGUUCAGCCUACCUGUAUUUGCUCAAACAGUAUCAUCUGCUACCUCCUUGAAGGAUGUUUUGUUGUUUGUUUUAGCUUUUGUUGUUUCUUUUUUUUUUCUUUUGUGUUUUUAACAAUUUGCUAGGUCUUUUCUAAAGGAAACACUAAAGGAAAGCCGAUAUAGAAUCCCAUGGUUCGUGAUUCACAAUCUUCAGGUCAAUAGAAUGACCGCGCCUUUGUGGCCAUUGUCUUUUAAGGAACCAAAUAAAAUGAGUUUUUGCAUUUCUGCAACCUAG